GGUGCGUCAUGGGCAGAACUCAAGGGGGUUCAGUGAUAGCCCAGGGUCCCUUCCCACCGCCCCUUUUCCUGGUGGAAAGUACUCCAGCUCAACACAAGGUAUUUUUGCAGCACUUUGGAAUGAUAUUGCUACUUUUAAUAUAUUUUAACAGUACUUAAAAUUCUUUAAUUUUUUUUGUAGGAUUUUUCUCCAUUGCUUUUAAGGAACAUGAAGUUUCCAGCAGCUCUGCAGGUGCCUUACAUCCCAGCUCUGCUCCUGGUUCAGCCACUGAUGUCCAGGCACACAAUCCCAUCACUCCCUGGCCCAUGAAGGAUGACUUGGAGCAGGGUGCUGCUUGCUGGGCUAUUUUUACAACAAAGUGGGAGUUGCAAAAAACUGGGAGUAACACCUACACUGUUUGUGUCUCCUCUUGUUCUUAUCUCUAUUUCACAGUCAAUAUGUUUCACAACUUAAAAUAUGCCUAAAAAAUUAAGUGGAGGGGGGAAGUUACCAACAGUGUGCUUCCAUCAUCUCCCUUGCAGAACAGGAGAUCCACAGGGAUCAGCUCCCUGCCAGCAAAUCCUGCAGCAGGGGGGAUAAAAAUUCUCUGGUGGGUAUCACCUGGAGAAGAAGGCACGUGCUGGGUAAGUGCAGGAUGGAUUAUUUGGGAAGCAGUUAAAUUCAUGGGACCCUCCAAGGCAUGAGCAGGAUACUGGGAUGUCGCCGUGUCCGGGCAGUCCCGGCCCACGGGCUCUGCACACCCACGAUGGCCACAGGAAUGAGGGAUUUUCUCACAGCACCAAUGAGCAGCUUCUGGGCUCUGCCCUCCUGGCCAGGAGCCUGAAUGUGAAGCAAUUUGGCUGCCAAAUGUCCGUAUUUAAACUCUGUGUAAUUAUUCCCCAGGAGCGCGUUCCCACGUGGAGGAGCAGCAGCCGUCGCCGAGCGUUCUCUGACUCAGCAGAAAUCGCUGGAAAAACGUUUGCUCACGGAUGGAAAUCUGCAGAGAGCAGGCAAAGGGGCAGGCACAGAGCAUUCAUGUCUGGUGAUGGUGAGAGAUGGGAUACAGGUCUGGCAGACACCUGGCACCACUUCACAGUGAGCACUGGGGAAGAAAAGAAAGAACCUGAAACCUUACCAACAACAGCACAUCAACAGUUCAGAAAGUCAAAACAUUUGGGGCAUGGCAGCUGCAGAAAGCAGAGGAGAGCUGCCCAUGCUGCUGAGCUUGAAGGGGAUUUGCCAGCCAAUGGAAUUUUGUUCAUCCCACGGCAUACCUGUGCAGCUGGAGUGAGGAGGGAGCACAUCCUCUGUGCCACUGGUCCAGCACAGCCCUGGAGGAACAGCUGAGCCUGCAGCAUCCCUAGGGACACUCUGCUGUCAGCACAGGUUUCUCCAACAAGUCCCUUGUGCCAAGUCCUGAGGGAAAAAAAAAAAUCCUUCCAGUGCUGGGGAAAAGGAAGGCCAGAAGAAGAGCAUCCAGAUCAACCUGCCCUGGGGUCAUUUAUCAAAGCAGGCUCUGCCUGGGUGGUUUGGGAACAUUCCCACAUGCCAGGCUGCAGCAGGCAGCUGCUGUGCCCAGUCUGCAGCUGGUGUCUGGCACCAGAACGUGCUGGUUCUGAGAAGCUCCCAGGUGACAUUGUAUUCCAGGAAUGAUCUCAGGAAGGAUGAGCAGCCUGGGCAGCAGAACACCUGCAGUGCUGGUCAAACCCUCUGGGGUGCAAGGAAAAUGCUUCCCAUAGGAGUGAGAGCUUGCAGGCCUGGGCAGGAGCUGCUCACCACACUCACAGAGACUGAAAUCCCUUUCUCCAGUGUCCACAGCAAGUUCUACAUGGUGAAUAUCCAGCUUCCACACCAGGAAGGUGUUCCUGGCUGGAAGGGGUGGCUGCUCCAGUUUGAGUUGAUUUCAGCUCUCUCCACAGCUGCCUCUGCAAUGCAUGGGCAUGCUUUGCCAUGCAGAACCUGCAUUUUGCACAGUAGAUCCUUUCAGAAGUGUGGAGUUCCAGACUUCCUGGAUGGAGAUGUGGAUGUUUAAAGCAUUCCUACAUCAUCUGAUCUCUUAUGGCCUAAGCAGACAGAGUGGUGACACAGUUUAGAGAGGGAUGGAGAAAACAGCUAAUUAAAGUUUGGAAGCCAAACUGCUUGAUUUGUUUUGAGCUCUUGGACUCCUCAGAUUACUUCAGGUGUGAGCCAGGUCUGGCAUUAGGUGAGCAGAUGGGUUUUAUGACUCCCUGGAUGCAGAGAAGAUGAUUAAGAGAGGGAAGCUUUGCAAAAACAGGAGCAGGACUUGUGCCUGGCUCCCACAUCUGCUGGCUGCAGCAAGUCCUCUGUGGGAUCUGGGGGCAGAGUGGGCUCCUCCUGAAGUAAGGGAUGGUGGAAGUGCAAAAGCACACCCAAAACCCCACCCAGGAGUAGUUGGGGACCACCUGGAGGGGGGGACAGAGCCCAGCUGGCAGAAUUCCUGUGGUGGAUUAUCACUAAACUUUUAGUUCAGUGCCAGCUUUUAAUUGUGGAAAGUGGGUUGUGUCUCUCAGAUGUACUGCAGAGAGUCUCCAGCCUGGGAAAGGCAGACAAAAACGAUUGUCUAGCUAUUGAAUAAAAUUCUGUACCCUCCAUUUACUCCCCGAUUGCUGCUAGGAGGCCCCCACUAUGGGAUUAGCUGUGGCAUUAUGGGAUGGACCCGGGCACGUCCUUGCUGGUGUCUGCAAGGAGUCCCCUGCCCUGCUGGGAGCAGGCACCGGCAGCCACCCGGCACCAGCCGGAGCUGCAUCCCCGCAGAAAACGAGGUCGUUUGGGGACAGUCGGAAAACUUCUGGAAAUCUGGGUGAAAAAGGCAGUCUCCAAAUAAGGUGGGGAUGAGGAAUCCCAUCGGAGCGGGCUCCCGGCUCUCCAGCGGGCGUGCAGGGACCUCUUGUGGCAGCUGCCACGAGAGUUCCCGUCCCUGCUCUUCCCUUCGGGUUCUUUUGGGACAAGCCUGGCCCCCGAGCC